AUGCACGCUGGCGGCGUGCCUCAUACAUGCAAGUCGAGCGCACAGACGAGGAGCUUGCUCCUCUGACGUUAGCGGCGGACGGGUGAGUAACACGUGGAUAACCUACCUAUAAGACUGGGAUAACUUCGGGAAACCGGAGCUAAUACCGGAUAAUAUAUUGAACCGCAUGGUUCAAUAGUGAAAGACGGUUUUGCUGUCACUUAUAGAUGGAUCCGCGCCGCAUUAGCUAGUUGGUAAGGUAACGGCUUACCAAGGCGACGAUGCGUAGCCGACCUGAGAGGGUGAUCGGCCACACUGGAACUGAGACACGGUCCAGACUCCUACGGGAGGCAGCAGUAGGGAAUCUUCCGCAAUGGGCGAAAGCCUGACGGAGCAACGCCGCGUGAGUGAUGAAGGUCUUCGGAUCGUAAAACUCUGUUAUUAGGGAAGAACAAAUGUGUAAGUAACUAUGCACGUCUUGACGGUACCUAAUCAGAAAGCCACGGCUAACUACGUG
rnacentral:rRNA from 1 species